ACAAAUACUACAGUAAUACUUCAGUACAGUAUAAAUACUACAGUAAUACUUCAGUACUAUCGGCUGCUCAGUGUUAUUUUGAGCUGCUGUUAGAUAUAGAAUUUGCACAGCAUAAAAGUACACAGUUAAUAUAUUUAUCAGCACUCGAUGUUUCGAGUUUCACAUCGAAGCUUUAAUGUGAGGAAUGAAGUUUCAUGAUAUCAGUUACAUAAUGUUUAUAUUUAAACAUGAACACUUGUAAUAUAAACUUGUGUUGAUGUGAGUCAUGAAGUGGGGAAGCUUCAGUUACAAAGUUCACCUGCAGAAUCUCCUGUUCAAAUGUCUCGACCGCAGCGUGCAACAUUUACUUUGUGUCGUUAGUUUUUUAUCGUGUGUUUGUCUCGGACUGGUUCGAUUUAACUUCCUCCUAAAAUGUCCUCGCAGAAGCCCCCGAGUUACACUGAUACAUAUAUUAAUAUACUUUACGCUUUGGAUUCAUAUUCCGAGGCCUUCUCCUCUUCGACAAUAAUAGAAAUCUUUCGAGAAACAUAUUUGUAAUUUGGGGGAACCUUUGGCACGUGGAAGAUAAUGGCGUAAGAUAAUGAAAACACUGGCGUCGUCCUUCAGAAAGUCAUUUUGCUGGAACCCUGAUACGGAUGGCUGGCGGAGACAGAUAGACAGACAGAGAGUCCCAUUAGAUUAGGAGAGGGGAGCAUGAAGAGGAGGUUCAGCAGAGGGUAUAAUGAGCUGCAGGUCAGCACGCAGACCGGGGGGAAAUCAGGGAAACGCAGGGAUGAGCCGCGGCUGCAUACACACACACACACACUGAAUACAGUUAUAGUGUGUCGACAUGGAAACCGACAGACGGAUGGACUGAUAUUCUUGCAUUCACACACAGCUCCUCUGCAGUUUACAGAAGUCACAGAGCGGAUUAACAAACCGUCUGACUGCCACCGCUCUGUUUCUCUCUCUUAAUCUCAUUCUCUCUUUAAAAACAUUCAGGUUCACCAGCUGUUUCUCACGGUAAACAAAACCUCAAGCUGAAAGCUGCGUUAAUGUCUUCUGUGGCCACUAGGGGGCAGACAAGCAAACCUAUCAUCACCUUAUAAAGCUGCUCUCACACAUCGAGCAGACAUCAGCUGAGGUUGUGAUGUCCCUCUCACCUUUAUAGUGCAAACACACAAAACCAAACAAACACCUUUAAAUGUAAGACUAAUAUUCACUUUCCUUUUAGCUCUAGCUCUCGAACAACUCCAGAGAAGGACAUUAGCUGCUAACGCCAGGUACACGCAACGCGAGAAUCAGCACAGCCUCGAUUCUUUGAUGCAUGUUAUGUCCAUCCUGCCCGCACUGAUGUUCACAAUCCAACUUCCUGUUUUGCAGAGGACGCAAAGAACAAUAGCACAGUGGGAACCAAGCUAACGGGAGAAUGAAGGACAAACAUAUUUCCUUUGUGAAACUCUACGCUACUUCUUCCCGCCCGUCGUCCGCCAUGUUUGUUUACAAUAGCGUCACGAUUGGUCGCAAGACAUUUUGCGAGAUUUCUGGUUUUGAGAGUCGGGACUGUGUUCAGGAAUCGUUGCUACACUUCAUCACACGGGUCUCUCACAUCUUCACCUGCAGUCCGAUGAUCACAGUGUGCGCAGGGAUUGUGCAGGCGCCUCUUCUCUUCAUGUGUUCACAAAUGAAUCACUUCAUGUUGAGCGGGUCUCUCUCGCUGCGAACACACGAUGAUUCAGAUAUGGUGUUUCUGAAGAUAAACUCUUCUUCAGUCUCCCGGAGAUUAAACUCUUCCUCAGCCAGUUGUCAUUUUUAUUUGCUUGACGGAUGAUUCAGUAUUUUUCGCAGUGAAGACGUAAGGAGACUCUUUCGCACGGCAGGACUACGUUUCCUCCGCAGCAGCUCGAACACAUCACAACAGACUCACCAGCUCGGCCGUUCUCCACGUCUGUACGAUUCAGUGUGUCGAGACCAGAGAAAUCCGCACGACUUGCUUGUGUGGUGUCGCCAGCAGCCCAGGGGACAGGAAGUCGAGCAGGUAAAGGUUGUAAACAUACAAUUCAGGCUACAAAUCUGUUCAUUAUAUGUUUUGUUUAUCAAACAUUGUACAAUCAUUAACCUCUGACCUUCACUCACUGCAGCCAAUCAGCUCCUCUCCUCCUCUGCUGCGUCUAUUAUUUCACCUGCACGUGUCAAAUGUCCUGAAUAAAUUGUACGAGGCUACAUUAUAUAGCGCUUUUACCCAAAGUGCUUUGGAAGGUUUCUGCCAGAGUCACACACUGAAGGGGCGGGGGGGGGGGGCAUCACUGCAGGAGCAAUUUGGGGUUCAGUGCUUUGCCCGAAGACACUUCGACAUGUGAACAGGAGGAGGUGGGGAUCGAACUUGAGGUGCAUGCGUGAGAGUCAGUCCCUCUGGAGAAACUCUCACUUCUACACGUUCAAGAUUGAAAGACGUGUCUUCUGGCUUUAAGGUGUUCACAUCUCUGUGCAGCGCAGGAAAGUUUAUCAAUGCUGAGAUUCUCCUGACAUCUUCAGAGGUCUACGACCAAACGUCAGCACCGUGUGCGCCUCUGGACCAUCAACGUUUAUCUGGGACUUUACUUACCACUGAAAAUGGUUAUUCCAGUUAUGAAUGAGGCGUAAAUAAACGUUACUAAAGGUAUGUGACAUCCAUGGAGGUAAAGCCUCUUCUUUUCUGGAUCGGCUGUUCAGGGCGAAUAUUUGCAAGUUGCCAGAUGCUCCAGAGAACUCUCCAGAGAACUCUCCAGAGAACUCUCCAGAGAACUCUCCAGCGGUCGUAUUCUAUAAUACACAAAAUGAAACAUAAAGAAUAAGUUAGUAAUUAGAAUGUGAACAUAGGAGAAACAUACUGUAUACAUUAGAGUACAAAGUGUGCGUGUAAAGAGUGGAGUGUGGUUAGAGACUGUGAGUUAGCUGCUGUGUUCCUCCUCGCACUCUAACUUGUUGUCGUGCAGCUGAAGCCUCCGCAGCACCGCGGCUCUGUCACCUGAUACAAUCGUCUUCACUGCGGUCCAGAGGAGCCGCCUGAUUGUUAAAACGUCUGCAUCGACUCACCUCUGUCAGCAAUCCAUCCUUAGGGAAUUUGCAUAAAUGUCAUAUACGAGCUAAAAUAAACAACUUAGCCCCCCCCCCUCGUCCCCCUAGCCUCCUCCUCGUAGGCCCCCCCCUCUUCCUCGUCCCCCCCCCCCCCCCGCCCAUGCUCCCACCCAGACACUUAAUUGGAAAAACACAACCAGGAGGAAUCUGCUGAGCGUGGAAUUGAUUCACAGAUCUUCAGGAGCUGCUGUGAUCCAGUGAGCAGCGAGAAGAAGAGGUCAGCUGUUCCAGUGUUCAGAGGGGGCGACGACAACAACAAAUGCUGCUAAAAACAUAGAAAUGGAAUAAACAAUGUUCAUUUAAAUGCUUUUCUAGACACAUGAAGGUUGUUUGUGUUUUACGCCCUGUUUCCAUGGUGAUCAGGCCUUUAAUGGAAGUUAUCAGGUUCAUAUCCGACGUGAUGAAAAGGUUGCAGUUUGUUAGAUUUCACUCUCACUGAGGCGGUAAAACUACGUGAUUAGGUUGAGGAACAAGAUCAUGGUCUGGUUAGAGUAAGUUUGUAACGUAAUGUAAUCUUACGUAACUGUGAACAGAUGAUGAAGAGGUUCUGGACCUGCAGGUGUAGCAGCCUCUUACAUUGAUAACAGACAUCUAAUGCACUGAUAUCAUGUAAAGCGUUUGGUUUUUACAGACGUUAAUGAUCCUCUUCUGAGACACCAGUCGUUGUUUCAAGUCCAAACAUUUAUCUGAAUAGUGUCGUUUCAGUUUCAGUGAAAUGCUUUCAGACCAGCAGAAGCACGAAGGACAGAAAGAAAGAAAGUUGUAUUUCAGAAUAAAAGACUAAAUGUGAA